CCUACGGGUGGCUGCAGUGGGGAAUAUUGGACAAUGGGCGAAAGCCUGAUCCAGCCAUGCCGCGUGUGUGAAGAAGGCCUUCGGGUUGUAAAGCACUUUCAGUGGGGAAGAAAGCCUUGGGGCUAAUACCCUCGAGGAAGGACAUCACCCACAGAAGAAGCACCGGCUAACUCCGUGCCAGCAGCCGCGGUAAUACGGAGGGUGCGAGCGUUAAUCGGAAUUACUGGGCGUAAAGCGCGCGUAGGCGGUCUGAUAAGCCGGUUGUGAAAGCCCCGGGCUCAACCUGGGAACGGCAUCCGGAACUGACAGGCUAGAGUGCAGGAGAGGAAGGUAGAAUUCCCGGUGUAGCGGUGAAAUGCGUAGAGAUCGGGAGGAAUACCAGUGGCGAAGGCGGCCUUCUGGACUGACACUGACGCUGAGGUGCGAAAGCGUGGGUAGCAAACAGGAUUAGAUACCCCUGUAGUC
rnacentral:rRNA from 1 species